AGACCGAUAGCGAACAAGUAGAGUGAUCGAAAGAUGAAAAGCACUUUGGAAAGAGAGUUAAAAAGCACGUGAAAUUGUUGAAAGGGAAGCGCUUGCAGCCAGACUUGCCUGUAGUUGCUCAUCCGGGUUUUUAUCCGGUGCACUCUUCUAUAGGCAGGCCAGCAUCAGUUUGGGCGGUUGGAUAAAGGUCUCUGUCAUGUACCUCUCUUCGGGGAGAACUUAUAGGGGAGACGACAUGCAACCAGCCUGGACUGAGGUCCGCGCAUCUGCUAGGAUGCUGGCGUAAUGGCUGUAAGCGGCCCGUCUUGAAACACGGACCAAG
rnacentral:rRNA from 1 species